GGAUGUGAGGGUGAUCUGGCUGUGACAUCCAUUGAUGUCACCCCAUUGAUCGCUAGGGUUGAUUUGACUGAUCUGGCUGGCUAGGCGGGUGUCCCCUUCUACCCUCAUCGCUCCAUGUGUGUCCCUCCUGAAGCUGUAUGCACCAUCAAAGAGGAUGACAACUCCAAAAAGAGAAGAACCAUUUCCUCGUUCAAGGUCAAGGGUAUAGGAGUAGCUGUGCUCCCGUGCUGGGACCCCAAACAAUUUCCCAAGAAAGAUGAUGAAUGCAUAAAGAUAGGAAUUAAAAAAUAUAGAUUCUCCUCAUUGUUAAGGGUCAUGCAUUUGA
rnacentral:snRNA from 1 species